AAAUUAGUUUAGAAAUGUAAAAGUUUUGCAGUGCACAGUUCGUAAAGUUCAUACAGAAUAUAACCCAUGUUCACAAUUGUGCGAGGCCACGAUGGAACAGAGCCCAAUCAUUCGGAUCACUGGUAAAAAUUUUUGAUUAGCUUUGAACGACUGCUUGCGAUUAAAACUUUCUUGAACUUUGGUUACAGUUAUUUAAUAACUAUGUUUUUAUGUAUUCUAUUAAAAGUUCACAUGUACAUAAACCAAUAUAUUACGCAACAAUAAUCUUAGUCUCUAAUAUUUUGUUUAUAAUCCGUAUAAAAAUAUAAUUUUCCACGCCUCAAACGAUGAUCUACUUUGCAACCGCUUCACCAUGACUAGGCUAUCUCAACUUGAAAUUUUAAGUGGCCCCCAUCUACGAUUUUUUUUGGAAUUUUGUUAAUACACUAUAAGAUAUCACGUAUCAGUUACUCCCGAUAUCCGGCUGAUUGUCCUUCCACCACAAUAUCCUUAAGCAAACGGACUUCCACAUGCCACCACAACAUCUUUGGUAGUACGAUCUCUUCAUCACCUCAAAUCCACACGAUUAACAUCUUAAAUUUACAAUCAGUUUACGAUAUCCCGAUUAACUGCUUAGUUUAUAAGUUAACAUUAGUGUUACUACCGAAUCGAAACAAACACACACAAACCCACUCCCCACCCACCAUUCACAAAUUCGAUAUCACCACCGAACACACGUAUUUCGAUAGGAAACUCGCAAUUUUUCCCGCCGGAAUAAAUAAUAUGGACGUGCCGUCAUGCAUACUUCGCCCGCGGCCCAGCGACUUUAUUAUUUUAUAGUUUACAGUUUGUUAAGUCCCAGUUAAUAUGUUGCUUUUUUUUCUUUCAUUCUUCCUUCCACUGCACGAAACUGGAGGCGCAGGCAAAUUUAUAAAUAAUGAAGUGCGCCCCGCCGGCACCGAAGAGCGGGAGGCGAGAGCACACCGGGACCAGACGAAGGAAUAAAACCGGGUCCCAUGUAUAUUUGAUAACCGCGAUCUGCCAGGAAACUGUUGCAUUUCUCGGCUCGGGAAGUUUAACCGUCUCGUAUUUACGGUCAGAGUCUUAUGAAUAAAAACGUUCGGGACGUUCGGAAAAUGGAAACUGCGAAUUAUUUUUUUUUUUUUUCGAGUUAGUGGUUAGUUAAUUACGAAAAUGCCAACGUGUUGUCCAUUUCAAUUUGUAAUAGAAACAGCAGAGUAUUUUAUUUAUUUUACACAUCAUUUGUUACAAUAUUUAAGCUAAGAUUACUAAUUCUUUCAAAUAAAAAUAAUUUUGUGCACAACAAAUAUAAUAUUUAAGAUAGUUACUGUUAACACAUCCCGUUCACUUGCAGUCAUUCAAAAUUAACAAAAAUUUUAAACCCUACAAAAUUUAAUUGGAAAAAUAAUUUUAAAAAUGUGUUCAUGGGUAAAUUCUCAAUUUAUUUUGGAUAUUUUGCUUUGUUGAUUCAAAUGUGCCUAUAAUAAAAUUCUUGUGGUCUGUCCCCGACAUCGAUUAGCCAAAAACGGCUUUGCAUGAUCAACAGUCGAACGAGAAAACGGCUUCCGAUCCCUCAGUUACCCGCCAGCAUCAAUCUGUUCACAUCAAACGGCAAACAGAAGGACGGUCUGUGACGGUGAUUGAUUUUCGGUCUGAUGUCGUCUCAAAAGGAUCAUAACUCAGAUAGAAAAAAAAACGCAUCGUCAAUUAGGAUGUGAAAUAAUCCCCCAGAAAUUUGAAUAAAACGUGUCAGGCGAGGAAAAAUCUCGACGUCAUGUACCUGUCCGUGUCUUUUGGCGGCGACGAAAAUGAAAAGCACUCAAUUACGGUCGACGGAAAAGUCUGAUUUUCCACGUUAAACUAUGCAGCAAAUUCUCGAAAAGACGUCGCCGGAUGGAAUUUGGGGGUUUACGGUCGGUUCUCGGAGCGCAACGGAAGGAACAUGCAGCGAAUUAAUAACUGCACCUGAGCCCGAUAAACAAUGGAACAAACACUUUUUAUGGACUUUCGGAUGCGAUGCUUAUAUGCAACGGAGAAACUAGACCGGCGGAGAUCGAUACACGUUGAGGGAAUUGAAACAACAUCGGACGAGAAAAUGGAUUUCACUGUAAACAACCAUGGACAGAAAAUAUAAAUUUUUAUUAUUUUA